ensembl:lncRNA
GCAGAAUAUGUGAGGAUUACUACUGCUGCACAUGUUCCAAGGCUUUUUACACAACUUGACCAAUACACUGACCAGCUCAUAAAAGUCUUCAAGAAAAAAGGAGGCGUUGCAGGGAAGAAAAUUAGACAAACUUUGGCCCCAGCCACACAGAAGGAAAGUAUUGAAAAGGGGAGGGAGUGUGUCCUCAGGGCACUACCUUUUUACCUGAAUGAAGACCCAAGCAUCCUCUUCAAAGAAUAAUUGCUACAGCUGUUCAGAGGGAGCUGGAACAAAUUACCCUUGCUAUCUUUACCAUCGAAAGAGCUGAUGCCAGCACUCCUCCAGCCGAUGUGGGUAUAACCAUCUAGUGUGUCCUGCAUGACCUGGAAGACCUGGCCUCUGCAUGUGCACUCUUAAUGGGUGGGAUAUAUGCACUGAAUCUCAGUUAACCUCAAGACUGAAAGCUUUCUUUGAAGUACUUCAGAAGCUCUUCCUUCAUCUGUAUGUCAGCAUACUCUUGACCAAGGUACAGUUGCUCAAGAAUACACUGAAUGAAUAAGCCUAAAAAUAAGGGUA